rnacentral:rRNA from 1 species
GAUGAACGCUGGCGGCGUGCCUAAUACAUGCAAGUCGAGCGAACAGACAAGGAGCUUGCUCCUUUGACGUUAGCGGCAGACGGGUGAGUAACACGUGGGUAACCUACCUAUAAGACUGGGAUAACUUCGGGAAACCGGAGCUAAUACCGGAUAAUAUUUCGAACCGCAUGGUUCGAUAGUGAAAGAUGGUUUUGCUAUCACUUAUAGAUGGACCCGCGCCGUAUUAGCUAGUUGGUAAGGUAACGGCUUACCAAGGCGACGAUACGUAGCCGACCUGAGAGGGUGAUCGGCCACACUGGAACUGAGACACGGUCCAGACUCCUACGGGAGGCAGCAGUAGGGAAUCUUCCGCAAUGGGCGAAAGCCUGACGGAGCAACGCCGCGUGAGUGAUGAAGGUCUUCGGAUCGUAAAACUCUGUUAUUAGGGAAGAACAUACGUGUAAGUAACUAUGCACGUCUUGACGGUACCUAAUCAGAAAGCCACGGCUAACUACGUGCCAGCAGCCGCGGUAAUACGUAGGUGGCAAGCGUUAUCCGGAAUUAUUGGGCGUAAAGCGCGCGUAGGCGGUUUUUUAAGUCUGAUGUGAAAGCCCACGGCUCAACCGUGGAGGGUCAUUGGAAACUGUAAAACUUGAGUGCAGAAGAGGAAAGUGGAAUUCCAUGUGUAGCGGUGAAAUGCGCAGAGAUAUGGAGGAACACCAGUGGCGAAGGCGACUUUCUGGUCUGUAACUGACGCUGAUGUGCGAAAGCGUGGGGAUCAAACAGGAUUAGAUACCCUGGUAGUCCACGCCGUAAACGAUGAGUGCUAAGUGUUAGGGGGUUUCCGCCCCUUAGUGCUGCAGCUAACGCAUUAAGCACUCCGCCUGGGGAGUACGACCGCAAGGUUGAAACUCAAAGGAAUUGACGGGGACCCGCACAAGCGGUGGAGCAUGUGGUUUAAUUCGAAGCAGCGCGAAGAACCUUACCAAAUCUUGACAUCCUUUGACAACUCUAGAGAUAGAGCCUUCCCCUUCGGGGGACAAAGUGACAGGUGGUGCAUGGUUGUCGUCAGCUCGUGUCGUGAGAUGUUGGGUUAAGUCCCGCAACGAGCGCAACCCUUAAGCUUAGUUGCCAUCAUUAAGUUGGGCACUCUAAGUUGACUGCCGGUGACAAACCGGAGGAAGGUGGGGAUGACGUCAAAUCAUCAUGCCCCUUAUGAUUUGGGCUACACACGUGCUACAAUGGACAAUACAAAGGGCAGCGAAACCGCGAGGUCAAGCAAAUCCCAUAAAGUUGUUCUCAGUUCGGAUUGUAGUCUGCAACUCGACUACAUGAAGCUGGAAUCGCUAGUAAUCGUAGAUCAGCAUGCUACGGUGAAUACGUUCCCGGGUCU